rnacentral:rRNA from 1 species
UACGUAGGGUGCGAGCGUUGUCCGGAUUUAUUGGGCGUAAAGAGCUUGUAGGCGGCUCGUCGCGUCGGGUGUGAAAACUUGCGGCUUAACCGCAAGCCUGCACCCGAUACGGGCAGACUAGAGGUAUGCAGGGGAGAAUGGAAUUCCUGGUGUAGCGGUGAAAUGCGCAGAUAUCAGGAGGAACACCGGUGGCGAAGGCGGUUCUCUGGGCAUUACCUGACGCUGAGGAGCGAAAGUGUGGGGAGCGAACAGG